AUGCAAGUCGAACGAGCAAGAGAGAGCUUGCUUUCUCGAGCGAGUGGCGAACGGGUGAGUAACGCGUGAGGAACCUGCCUCAAAGAGGGGGACAACAGUUGGAAACGACUGCUAAUACCGCAUAAGCCCACGGUGCCGCAUGGCACAGAGGGAAAAGGAGCAAUCCGCUUUGAGAUGGCCUCGCGUCCGAUUAGCUAGUUGGUGAGGUAACGGCCCACCAAGGCAACGAUCGGUAGCCGGACUGAGAGGUUGAACGGCCACAUUGGGACUGAGACACGGCCCAGACUCCUACGGGAGGCAGCAGUGGGGAAUAUUGCACAAUGGGGGAAACCCUGAUGCAGCGACGCCGCGUGGAGGAAGAAGGUCUUCGGAUUGUAAACUCCUGUUGUUGGGGAAGAUAAUGACGGUACCCAACAAGGAAGUGACGGCUAACUACGUGCCAGCAGCCGCGGUAAAACGUAGGUCACAAGCGUUGUCCGGAAUUACUGGGUGUAAAGGGAGCGCAGGCGGGAAGACAAGUUGGAAGUGAAAUCUAUGGGCUCAACCCAUAAACUGCUUUCAAAACUGUUUUUCUUGAGUAGUGCAGAGGUAGGCGGAAUUCCCGGUGUAGCGGUGGAAUGCGUAGAUAUCGGGAGGAACACCAGUGGCGAAGGCGGCCUACUGGGCACCAACUGACGCUGAGGCUCGAAAGUGUGGGUAGCAAACAGGAUUAGAUACCCUGGUAGUCCACACCAUAAACGAUGAUUACUAGGUGUUGGAGGAUUGACCCCUUCAGUGCCGCAGUUAACACAAUAAGUAAUCCACCUGGGGAGUACGACCGCAAGGUUGAAACUCAAA
rnacentral:rRNA from 1 species